rnacentral:misc_RNA from 1 species
ACAUAAUGUAACUUUAUAUAUACGCGACCGUAUUUGUGGAAAGAGAAAUCCAACAUGCCGACCGUCUGCGAGGAAUCGGGGGCUUCGUCCUCUGGAUACGAUUCUACGCUCGAUCUGAAAACCAAACUUUUAUCCCAGGAAUAUACUCACGAGAAAUGCUCGUGUCACGAGUUCACUCCCAGUGGCAGGUUGUUCGGGAGAACACGUUCAUUAGACCCCGAUCUUUUAAACAGAUGUGCCGAGUGUCAGAAAGAAAAGACUAGAGCAAAGCUCGUUCGUUAUGAGAAAAUUCCGGAAGAUGGGGAUGGGGGCCGUGUUCAGGUUGGUGGGGAUCCUCUGGGAGGAACGAGGGUGGUGGAUAACCGAAUGGGAGGGACCAUGCUGGUCAGUGACCCAGAUAUAGAGGUGAAACAGAAUCUUCUAAACACGGACAGUGAACAAGAUGAUAACACUAUAAAUAACAAGAAAAAGGAAAACCCCGGGGACUGUGACCUAGAAAAAGGGUCCGACCUCCCGGCGAGGAAACCCUGGACACGGAGGAAACUGACUCUAAAAAUAACUGUAUGUUUAAUUGUGAUUGCAUUAGCUAUAGCAGGAGUCGUUCUCGGCGUAAUCAACAGACCAACAAAGGUAGGGAUCAGUAAUUGAAUGUUGAGUUAUUGAUAUGGCAACCGCCAUCCUAAGAUGAAUGUAUUUAUUAUUGAUGUAAGAUACGCUCUAUAUAUCCCACAAUUAAUGUUAGAUUCGCUUUAUGGGUCGUUGUAGGCCAAGUGGGCCCGAUUGGUUUUUAUUACUAAUUUAUUGAAUUGAUAGAUAUUAUUAUUAUAUUGACAAAGUAGUACCGCUUUAUAAACAAAGUAUUUCGCAAUACAAGACGGGACGGUAGCUUUUGGAUACCCUCUACAGGUGUAUAAAUAUAGCUGGGGUUUUUAAAGGAUUGGCCUGGCAUGCAGGGUAUAAUUUGGGAAUACCCUCAGUCUAUGACGUAAAAUUAAAUGUACCCAAAUCCAAUGAAAUUCAAUUAUAAAUAGAUUAGAUUACGAAUUUAAAGGACAAAUAAAAAUGUUAUUAUUCAGGACAAUAUACUGAAAACACCGUCAUAUUGAACUAACAAUGAAUUAAUAGUUAAUUUUUUAUCCAAAAAAUAUGUACCUUAAUUUCUGUAGAUAAGUGGACAGGCAUACGUUAUUGAUUGAGCUAGGUUAUAGUGGAGGAAGGCUAUGUUGGUUCACUCCUCUAAAGGAGGAUACAUCUACGACUUAUACUAAUCAUUUUCUGUGUGCAUUUACUGAUUUGAUGUAGAAAUGAUUGAAUGCAUGCUUUAUCUAACAGGGCGACGGUCCGCCAGUCAGUCAGCAGUUACAUCAGAAGUCAACCCCAUUACCUGUUACAGGUAUGUACACCUUGUCAGGUGUCCGUCUACCCGGCGAAGAGGUUACAAUGCCUUAUGUCAGCAAUUUACACACGCCGGACACUCUUAAAAAUAAAACUAAUGAGUCCAAAAGUAUUUUGAAUAUUAAGAAAGUAGAUGUCUAAAUAGAACUAUUGUUAGUGUCCUUAAUUAUAAUAUGAAUGAGUUUUGUCCAAAAGUAUUUAAACACAAUUAAUGUCUAAGAAAGUAAUGUUAUUGGGGAUGAGUGUUACAUUUAAUGUCAGACGAUGAGUUCUAUUUUAUUGCAUUUUCCAGAGUUCCAUACUCAUUCGCCGCUGAGGAACUGCACGUUGGUGAUGGAGCUGAAUAAGAACGAUAUUCCAGUUCUUAUUCCAGUGGGUAAGCAUAUCUCAUUCUUCCGUAUUACGCGUGUGUCGUCAACCCUUGACCUCUACUUACAGAGGGGGCACUUGUCACCAGUAACUAACAAGUGCUUGUCUGCACUUUGGGCUCAUUUCCUGGCAAGGCACGUCAUUGAUGGAACAAUUGUGACGCUGUCAUUGGUUUGUCAGAUACAGAUUAAGGAAAAUAAGCUUUAAAUAGCGAUUAAAGUAACAAUUUCAAAAUGAUGUCGUAAUGAUUUUCCGACUUUACUCUAAAUUCCCAAGCCAGUAGAGAUUUUUUUGUCAAUUUUGUUAUGGAAUAGAUCUGAGAUUCAAUGACGUAAUAUGUGUCUGUUCUUUGUCGUUUAGGAUCCCAAGACUUCCAGACUUACACAGUUCCGUGGAGGCCCCGUUCUACAGUUUCGGCUAGCAACGCCAUCUUGUAUUCACCGGAAACUCUGACAUUUAAUGCCACGAGGCCCGGACAGUUCUCAGUGCACAUCGAUGUUCACAUUGACACAAACUUCUGGAUUGAGGAGAAACAUCUCCAAAAGACAUUUUCUUCCGUACUUUGCAUUCACUUCCCUAUGAAAACUUUAGACCCCAAGAAAUGUAUCACCAAUAAAUACAUUGCACGAACUGUGAGUACACAGCAGCUACACAAGGAGGUGUUCUUGGAGAGGGGGGAGAGUUUCUACGUGACUAUUGGAGUGACUACUCUGGACAUGAUUUACCACCUUAAAACAGACAAAAACAACCUUAUUGAAAUAACCUCUAAGAAGUGCUAGUCGAUGUAAAAUAUUGUGAUAUUGUUGUUAUUUUUAUUUGAUGUAUAGUUUUGUAUAUAGAAAUAUGUGUUACGUUUUUAAUAAAACAACCAUUUUCACUA